GCAUUUCGCUUUAUUAAUAAACAUAUUGAGAAGUUGCUGCUUCAUCUGUGUAAUUUUUGUGCUGAUAAACAAAGGUCACAGUAGAGGCAGGCUGUUAUUGGCAGUUCUGUUGUCCUUCCGUGUUCUUCCAAAGAUUAUCAUAAACUUCAAGACAGUG